GUAGGGUGCAAGCGUUAAUCGGAAUUACUGGGCGUAAAGCGUGCGCAGGCGGUUAUGUAAGACAGGUGUGAAAUCCCAGGGCUUAACCUUGGAACUGCAUUUGUGACUGCAUAGCUAGAGUACGGUAGAGGGGGAUGGAAUUCCGCGUGUAGCAGUGAAAUGCGUAGAUAUGCGGAGGAACACCGAUGGCGAAGGCAAUCCCCUGGACCUGUACUGACGCUCAUGCACGAAAGCGUGGGGAGCAAACAGGAUUAGAUACCCUGGUAGUCCACGCCCUAAACGAUGUCAACUGGUUGUUGGGUCUUCACUGACUCAGUAACGAAGCUAACGCGUGAAGUUGACCGCCUGGGGAGUACGGCCGCAAGGUUG
rnacentral:rRNA from 1 species